rnacentral:rRNA from 1 species
CCAGACUCCUACGGGAGGCAGCAGUGAGGAAUAUUGGUCAAUGGCCGAGAGGCUGAACCAGCCAAGUCGCGUGAGGGAAGACGGCCCUACGGGUUGUAAACCUCUUUUGUCGGGGAGCAAAGCGAACCACGUGUGGUUCAUUGAGAGUACCCGAAGAAAAAGCAUCGGCUAACUACGUGCCAGCAGCCGCGGUAAUACGUAGGGGGCAAGCGUUAUCCGGAAUUAUUGGGCGUAAAGAGUACGUAGGUGGCAACCUAAGCGCAGGGUUUAAGGCAAUGGCUCAACCAUUGUUCGCCCUGCGAACUGGGAUGCUUGAGUGCAGGAGAGGAAAGCGGAAUUCCUAGUGUAGCGGUGAAAUGCGUAGAUAUUAGGAGGAACACCAGUGGCGAAGGCGGCUUUCUGGACUGUAACUGACACUGAGGUACGAAAGCGUGGGGAGCAAACAGGAUUAGAUACCCCGGUACGC